rnacentral:tRNA from 1 species
AAUAAGAUGGCUGAGUGUUAAGCGGUGGAUUGUAGUCCCAUGAACGAGGGUUUAAUUCCUUCUCUUAUAA